GACGGAGGGUGCGAGCGUUGUUCGGAUUGACUGGGCGUAAAGGGCGUGUAGGCGGUUGGUCAAGUCUGGUGUGAAAGCCCGGGGCUCAACUCCGGAAGUGCACUGGAAACUAGCCAGCUGGAGCGCGAGAGAGGAGGGUGGAAUUCCUGGUGUAGCGGUGAAAUGCGUAGAUAUCAGGAGGAACACCGGCGGCGAAGGCGGCCCUCUGGCUCGUUGCUGACGCUGAAACGCGAAAGCGUGGGGAGCAAACAGG
rnacentral:rRNA from 1 species